rnacentral:rRNA from 1 species
AAGCGGCGAGUGAGCGGCAAAAGCUCAAAUUUGAAAUCUGGCGCCUUCGGUGUCCGAGUUGUAAUUUGAAGAUUGUAACCUUGGGGUUGGCUCUUGUCUAUGUUUCUUGGAACAGGACGUCACAGAGGGUGAGAAUCCCGUGCGAUGAGAUGCCCAAUCCUAUGUAAGGUGCUUUCGAAGAGUCGAGUUGUUUGGGAAUGCAGCUCUAAGUGGGUGGUAAAUUCCAUCUAAAGCUAAAUAUUGGCGAGAGACCGAUAGCGAACAAGUACAGUGAUGGAAAGAUGAAAAGAACUUUGAAAAGAGAGUGAAAAAGUACGUGAAAUUGUUGAAAGGGAAGGGUUUGAGAUCAGACUCGAUAUUUUGUGAGCCUUGCCUUCGUGGCGGGGUGACCCGCAGCUUAUCGGGCCAGCAUCGGUUUGGGCGGUAGGAUAAUGGCGUAGGAAUGUGACUUUACUUCGGUGAAGUGUUAUAGCCUGCGUUGAUGCUGCCUGCCUAGACCGAGGACUGCGAUUUUAUCAAGGAUGCUGGCAUAAUGAUCCCAAACCGCCCGUCUUAAAAAAAAGGACACAAAAUGGCAAAUUUGCAUUGUCGUGUCCUUCUUUAGCCUUACUAGUACCCUUCUACAGCAUCCUAGUUUUUCUCACUGUGACGUUUCCUAAGUAUCACUCUCCAACGUGUCUU